rnacentral:misc_RNA from 1 species
UUUUUUCUCUUAUCUCUUCCUUCAUUUAAAAAAAAUACCAGUAACUUGAGAUUAAAUUUUAUGAAAAAUAAUAUUUCAAAAUCUUCAUUAAAUAGUAACAUGUCAAAAAGACAUCUACUAAUUGGAUCAUUUUAUCUAUUCUACAAACAAUGUUAUGGAAACUAUAAAUGUUAAUAAAAUUACAUUUUUUGGUAUAAAUUAAUGUAAUAUUGAUUUUUUGAUUAUUAAUAUUAUCUUCUAUGACAGUUGCUAAUAUAAUGGGUAAACAAGAUGGAUCAUGUUGGUGGUGUGUUAAAGUAUUUAAAUGGGUACCAGUUAUAUUCAUAUUGUCAAUUGUUUUCUGGUCUUAUUAUGCGUACGUCAUACACUUAUGCUACUAUACUAUUCAUAGCUACGUACAAAAAACUUUAUAUUUAAUAUUUUUUCACAUUUUCUUCGCUAUGUUUCUCUGGUCUUAUUGGCAAACAGUUACGACGAAUUUAAUGCCUGUUCCUGAUACUUUUAAAGUUCCUGCUAUUGAAAUGGAGAAAUUACAACAAGCACAAAACGAAGAAACUCAAUUUGCUAUUUUAGAAAGAUUAGGACAAAAUUUACCUAUUACCAAUAGAACUGUUCGAGGAGCUAUACGAUUUUGUGAAAAGUGUCAAGUAAUCAAGCCAGAUCGAGCUCACCAUUGUAGCGUAUGUCGAUCAUGUGUUUUAAAAAUGGACCAUCAUUGUCCAUGGGUUAACAAUUGUGUAGCUUAUCAUAAUUACAAAUUUUUCGUAUUAUUUCUGGGUUAUGCGUUGCUUUAUUGUGUGUUUAUCGCAGCCACAACGUUGCAAUAUUUUAUACAUUUUUGGAAGGGUGAAUCAGAUGGAAUGGGAAAGUUUCAUUUGUUAUUUUUAUUUUUUAUCGCAUUAAUGUUUGCAGUAAGCUUGAAUUCCCUUUUUUUCUAUCACUGCUACCUCAUUAUACACAAUCGAUCGACGUUAGAGGCAUUUAGACCACCAAUGUUUCGAAUGGGAAAGGAUAAGGAUGGUUUUAGCAUUGGAAAAUAUAAUAAUUUCCUCGAAGUCUUUGGUGAUAAUAAAAAAUUAUGGUUCUUCCCUGUUUUUACUAGUCUUGGAAAUGGAGUGACCUACCCAGUACGGACACAACAUCAAGGCCCGAAUACUUACAACUCCAUGGGCAGUACUCAAAACAGUUUUGGUGAUGGGAUCUCUUUUCCGGAAAGGAUGUAUGAUGAAGAUACACACAAUCUACUUGACGAUAAUGGGCCUUAAACGAAAAAUAGAUAGAUAAAAAAAAACAAGGAAUAAUGAACAAAAUAUGUCAGUAUUUCUAUCCGACACAUUUAAUCUUCGGCUCAGGUAUUUUAUGAUCGUAUAUUUAUCGUUACACGUUAAAAAAGGAACAACAGUUUGAGAAAGAAAUUUCCAGAUCAUGUUGACUUGAGGAUUAAACUUUUUUAAUAAUCUGUUAAUUAUAAUGACAUUAUUUUUAAUUUGAUUACAAUUCCAGGAAUUAAUUUAUAAGUCAGUAAUCAAGACAAUAAUAUGCAUUUAUUUAUUUUUAUUUAAACGCAAGAACGAAAAUAAAAUGAUUAAAAAUCUUAUAACUGAUGUUAUAAAAAAAAGAUUAGGCAUUCAGUAUUUAAAAACAAAAUUAAUAAAUAGGAACGAAUUUGAUGUAAUGAUUAUUUAAUAAUUACUUUAAAAUAGCGAGAUCAAUGCAAACAUUCCAUUAAAAAGCUAUUAUUAGUUUUCUAAUUGUCAUUACUAAGUAAUCAAAUAAUAAUAAAUAUUUAAUGUAAAUAGUGUAAGUAAGAAUAUAUAUUUGAAUGCAAUUUUAUGUAUCAACAUAUCGAAAAAUGUGGUAUAAAUAAAUAUAUAUCAUUACGAGCACUUUUUGAUAUAAUUAUCUUCAAAUUUACCUGUAUAUAAAUGUAUUUGGAAUACGUGAAAAUAUAUUGAAAACUUGUUAGGAGAUUUUAAUACUUUGGUUUAAAAUCACUGUUCUAAUUUUUUGCUGAGCUUUUAAAAUUUUUUCCCAUUAUUUUAAUUUUGAAUAAUUACAUUAAAUCUCAUUUUUUAAUAAAUGCUUCCAGUUUUUCAACAACAAUGCACUAAUGAAAAUUUUUCACUGAUUUUGCUGAUUCAAGGUUUUACUGGGUAAAAGCAUGAUUUUUAAUGGUCGCCAAAUUUUUAUUUUGGUUUUCAACCAAAACUAAUCUAAUAUACUUAACUCAUUAUCUAAUAAAGUUAUUGAAUAAUCAAAUAUUAAUAUGGAUUUGAGAUAAGUCUUUUAUUACUUAGGUGUGAUCUAGAGAUGAGUAUGGUAGAGGAGGCAACAAUUCUUGCUCUUGGUGCUGGUACGGCUCUUGUAGGACCUGUAGUGGAAGUCAAUGAACCUCUUGUGAAUUCAAAUGAAACAGUUUGAAGUUUAACUUUAAAUAUUUUUUUUUUAUUACUUAAAAUAAUUUAUUAUAAUUAUAGUCACAAUUAAUUUAUUAUUUCUUUAUUGUAUACUGCCAUUACUUCAAUGAUCAAAAUUUAUUGUUUAUUAACAACAUUAAGUGUUAUGAACGUUUUUUAUUGAAAUUUUUCUUUAUUAUAUUUUGCUGAUCCUGUUAUUUUAAGUUCUGUUAAUUUAUAUUUAUAACAAAUAGUCUUAAUACAUUUUUAUGCGUAAAUAAAUAUAAAAAAAUA